GAGCAGCAGCGCGGCCGCCGACAGGAGCAGCUUCCCGGGGAGCUGCAUGUCCGAGUGCCAGCCCGGGGGCACCCGCUGGGACAUUUUUCCAUGCGGGAAUGCCGAGGAGCCGAUUAAUGAUUUGCCGGGAGAGCUCGGCGGGUCGGGACAAGGGGUGGAGCAUUCCCUGUUCCUGCCAUCCCAAAGAAUCCAUGGAUCCCUCUGGAAAAAUCCCCGUUUAUCGCUGUCUGCGGGAUGAGCGCUGACGUCUCGGAGCUUGUGACUCUAAUUGAGAAGCUAAUCAGAUCUCCUCGGAAGGUUGUCAGGAGCGGAUCUGUCAGCUCUCAUCAAUAAUGGAACAACCUGAGCCUCUCCUUCCCCCUCCAGCCUCCUCCUGCAUUAUUCACUGGCAGAGGGAUCGGGAAUGGGGGGAAGGAGCGGGGGAAAAAGGGGGGGAAAGGAGUGGAAAAGAUGGGGGAAAAAAGGGGGAAAGGG
rnacentral:lncRNA from 1 species